AAAAAAGCCUUUCAAAAGUUAGUUGGUUCUCAGGGACAAUUCUUGGUGCCUGUAGUAUUUGUCACCAAUGCAGGGAAUUGCCUUCGCCAGAAGAAAGCUGAUCAGUUGUCUCAUAUUUUGGGAGUGUCGAUUUCACAAGACCAAGUAGUGAUGUCUCAUAGUCCUUUACGGAUGUUCAAACGUUACCAUGACAAAUGUGUUCUAGUGUCUGGGCAAGGACCACUUCUUGAUAUUGCCAAAUAUCUGGGUUUUUGUCAACCUAUUACCAUUGAUAUAUUGCGUGAAACACACCCUUUGCUGGAUAUGGUUGACCAUGACAGACGACCUAAAGUUUUGGUGAGUGAAUGAUUUAUGUUGAAAUCUUUCUGUCUCUGUUUAUUGGCUGACAAUUCUACAUUUGGAGAUUUCUUCUUCGUAUAAAAUCAUAAACUUGACUUUUUUUAGUUUAUUCCAUUUUGUAAUAUGCUUUUGACUUUGAGGCCUACCUAUGUACUUGUUUCUCUGCAACACUUUGAAGAGCUAUUCAGUAUACUUGUCUAACAAGUCAGUUUGGUCAGUAUCUUUAUUGACAUUUACAUUGACUCUCCAGUAUAAAGUCUGAGGCAUUUUUUUAAUUGGUUGACUUGAAAAAAAAAUGUUGCAUUACAGUCUUUUAUGUAGCUAACAUUGAGGAAAACAGGCAAAACUCUGGAUUUAAUGGAGUUGCCUGAUAAAUCUGCUACUUUGGAAAAUCUACGUGUUUUCUAAGAGAGAUGGAGAGGUAACCUUCCCCCCCCCACCCCGCUUCCCUAUAAGAAUGUGACAACAAUGGUAAGUUACUACUGCAAGCUGUUGCCUUGUUACUCAAUUCACUAUCUUUCAUAAGCUCUCAGAAGAAAUCUCCUUUUAAAAAUCAUCAUAAUCUUUAUAGUUUCUCAAACUUGAAUCAUAAAACCAUAGAGCUAGAAGAAACCUCAGAAGGUCAAGUCCAGCCC